GGAGUGAUAGUGGCUAAGUCUCUGGGUUAUCCAAAAAAAAAAUAAAAAAAGUUAUUUAAAUUUUAAAUUAAUUUUAAAGUGACCAUGUGUAUUUAGUGCCGCCGAACACAACGGGGCUUAUAUAUUUUCUUUCUCAGUGAGGGAGGAAGAGAGAGAGUGAUGACGAGGGGAAAGCAGAAAAUCGAAGCGCAGAGGCGUAACGCAGAGAAGAAUCAAAAGCAGAAAGGCUCCCAGCUUGAAGCUCGUGCUGUUGCCCUCAAAGUCAGCUGCCCCAUCUGUAAGGUACAGCUAGCAAAUCAGAACCAGCUGGGUGAUCAUUAUGCUUCAAAACAUCCGAAGGAAAGGCCUCCUAUGGAUUCAGGUGGAUGAAUUAGUUGUCAGAAAUGAACUGCUUUAUGGGUGUCUAAGAAGUCAUGUAUUUAAACUCCUUAUCUGAACUGAGAGCUACUUCUUCUCUCUUGUUUCUUGGUGUGUUAUCUUUUGUCAGCUGUGAAGCUUAAUGAUAAAUGAAACUUCCCCUGUUUGAAAUA